UACACUUAACACAGCUCAUGACUCUCUCGACCUUAGACCUACAAACCCAUCUCUUUCGAGCGAAUGACUUCAAUUUCUUAGGCGCCUCUUCCUUUCCCUUCCUCACCUUCACCCUCUUCUCCCUCGUUGUCACCGUCCUGAACAGCCUGAGCCUUCUUCUGGUUUUGGUUUUUCUCCACCUCCCGUUCUAUCUCUCUCUCCCGCGGCUCACAUUCCACCAUCAAAGCUUCCGUUAGUCCUCUUCAGCUUCGUCAUCGGCACUUGCAGCUCGUUGGUUAUCGAUGCCGAACAACCUAUAAACCAGUCGACCCUUUUUGCUAUGAUCCCUGCACAUCCAGCUUUGGAGAGGCGCAGUACAAAUCAGAGUGCGGCACAAAACACUUCAGGUUUGGACACUGCUUGACUCAAGGCGGCCAGUUACUUUGUUGCUGUAGUCCUUAAAAGCUAGCCAGGCUUGGAGACAGAAGAUUAAAAUGAUCGAUUGUUAGUAAAUGAGUUUACUAUGCCACACCAUAGCAUGCCCUAUCAACCAGGUGAACUUGAUUUUCGGUUUCCAAUUGGAGCCCCCAUACAUGGGAUUCUUGCGUUUUUAUCUACAAAUCAGAUCAAGACUUAUGAUAAAGCAAGAAAUGCAUUGGCUCUUGCAUUGAGUCCUGUCGUCAGGGCUCUGGUUGAUCCAGAUGGAGCAUUGAGUGAUGUGCGGAAUUUGGAUAGCAUAAGCUUCUCAGAUUGGUUCAUGUCCAAGGGUGGCACACGCACGAGUAUCCAGAGAAUAAUACAGUGGAUGAUCAGGACACAUGGUUUUCUAAUAAGGAAGCCACGCUGUUGAAAUCACAGAAAUUCACCCCUGAAUUUGAUUUCCCAAACCUUAUAUUUUCCAAACAUUGUAAAUGUUCAUCUCUUCAAGGGAUGCUCAACGGAAUUCAUCAAUCAGAUUGUAUGUCCAAGAUUUUUCGUGUACCGCGGUCAAGCAUCUGUUUUCCUUACUGAAGUAAGUAUUGUUGCCCAAGGCUGGGUGAUUGAAGCAGAGGGUUCGUAUUUGGUGAGUUCCUUCCUAAUUGCUCCGAGCACCUCAUUUUUGUUUGUCAAAUUAUUUAUGUCAAAACCCACAUUUCUAUUCAUCAUAAUCGUUACUGGGUUUUGAAAAUGAUAAACCAAAAGAAGAACAUGAAGGUGUCUCUUUUACAGUUUCAUACCUUUUUUUGGAUUCGUCUAUAUCGCUUGAGGAGGGAUUAGAUUGGAACUUUGGAAGUUUCAGGCUAUGUUUUUGUUUAUUAGUAUUGAAAUUUGGUUUUGACCUAAAUGAAAUUUUAAUGUCUGCUCUCUAAUUGAUAGUCUGGUUGCGUUUUUGUAAAACAUAGAUAUUUUGGCAUCGGUUUUGCUUGCAUUGUGACAUGUAUAUCUGUUUUGCUUCCAACUGAAUUUUUUUUAGCUGACUGAAAUAGUAAAUAUAUGAAUCAUGCGAAUGAAAAUUAUACAAUAAUGAGUGCAAUUUUAUGACUUUCUGUUCCAAGUUAAGUUAAUAAUGAUUGUUAUGGUUUUAGUUUAAUUGUGUAUUGGUUGCACAUCUUAUAUCAUCAUAGAUCUUAUAUGAUCCAAAUGAAAAUUAAGUUACAGUAAGCCGAUGGUUAGGUCUUUUCUUUCGUUCUUUAUUUCUUACUCUUUUCUUUCUAUUGUGUUAUUUUUCCAUAUGUAUUAUAUAAAUAUAAUAUAUGAUCUGUUAGUUAAUUGUUUUAUUUUAGUCUUAUUGUUAUAUUGUUCUCUUUUGAUUGUGGGAAGAUUAGAAGGGCUGGGGGCUGACUAAAUAUGGAGGGGAAGGGGACAGAAGAAAGAAAAAAAGAAAGAAAAAAAAAAGAAAGGAAAAAUAAAGAAGAAGAGAGGAUGGGGACGAAGAAAAAGACGGGAAAGGAAGGGAAGAGAGAGUUGGAGAGUUUGGGUUUUUGUCGAAGGCAACCAUUUGGGUAUCUCUGGAUUUGAGGGGAGAGAAGCUAGAAGGUUUCUGUUGAUUUUCGGAAGCAAAGAUGAAGAAUUGAGAAUAUGAUCUCUUAGUGAAGGGGUUUUGCUUUGAGUUGGGUUGGUUGUUUCCGUUCUGCUCUAUGAUUCGAAAAGCAAACUGUGGAUGGAAGGAGGAGAUUUAGGAGAGGUGUUUCAGCCUUUGUUAUUUUUUUUUCUGCUAUUCAAAGCUUUGAGCCUUUUGGGUUUUCCUUUUUUGGCUGUUCUUGUUUUGGGUCUGCUUAAGAACUGAGGUGAGUGACUGUUCUUUCUUGCGUUAUGUUUUAUUUAUGAUUUUUCCUUGGCUGAUUUCUAUGUUAAAUUGAGAUGUUGGUGUGGAUCAAUGAGUGAUUUCGUACCUAGAAAUAUUACUUCUAUUUAUCUUUUAUCGUUGUUGGUUUUACUUUGGGAUCUUUGACGUCUGGUAAAGCUUUUGAUUUGUAAACUGUGGUUAGGUGGGGUGUUUGAUAUCAUGAGUUUGGAAUUGGUUUGAAUUCUGAUAUCUUUCUUUCUGAGCUUUUGCUUUGUUAUUUUAUGUACUUUGUUCUCUAUUAGGUGUCGAGGACAAUUACUUGAGCUUCAAUUGUGUUUUGGUCUGUUGCUUAUGUUUCAAAAGGAACUCGAUGUUGGUACCAUGUGACCAGAGUAUGGUGCACAAAAGAGGAUAGACAUUGACUCCUACUUAGACUUACUAUUACUCUGAUUUCAUAACAGAUUGGUUUUAUCCAGCCCAGACAUCUCAGAAUGUAUGCAGCAGUUCAUAAUAGUGGCGAACUGGCUUUGUGUAGACCUAGAGACAAAAGCUGGAGUGUCUACCAAGUAUUUGAAGAAAAUGAAAAUCUUGUCGAGAGAGUCAACAGAAUAUUGUUUUCCACCACUGGCGUGCUAUAUGCCUUGGUUACAGGUAACCGCAAUGGUCGUGGUGUUGAUGCAGACCGCACUUUAAAGUUCGGAGAUGAGGCAGUGAAAUUGAAGCUGAUCUAUGACAUAGAGGAGUCGUGGAUUGAUGCAGGGGUUGAUCCGGUAGGGCUUUUGUGCAUGUCAUACUUGUUGGAAUCAACAAACAACGAAAUUUUAUUGAAACAUAAGCAACAUUAGAAGACAUAAUGCUUUGGAACAAUGUGUAUCGGCCUUUGAUGUUCAAGUAGAUAGGGCAUAUAUGUAUUAGAAUGUAAAACGAGAUGUUGAAUGAUUGGGAAAUACUCCAUUUUAACAUUUUUGGCAUAUGGAAUGGAUUGGAUUACUCAUU